GGGUUGUGAGGUUAAGCGACUAAGCGUACACGGUGGAUGCCCUGGCAGUCAGAGGCGAUGAAGGACGUGCUAAUCUGCGAAAAGCGUCGGUAAGGUGAUAUGAACCGUUAUAACCGGCGAUGUCCGAAUGGGGAAACCCAGUGCAAUUCGUUGCACUAUCGUUAACUGAAUACAUAGGUUAACGAGGCGAACCGGGGGAACUGAAACAUCUAAGUACCCCGAGGAAAAGAAAUCAACCGAGAUUCCCCCAGUAGCGGCGAGCGAACGGGGAGCAGCCCAGAGUCUGAAUCAGCUUGUGUGUUAGUGGAACGGUCUGGAAAGUCCGACGGUACAGGGUGAUAGUCCCGUACACCAAAAUGCACAGGCUGUGAACUCGAAGAGUAGGGCGGGACACGUGGUAUCCUGUCUGAAUAUGUGUGGACUGUACUGCAAGGCUAAAUAGGCCUGACUGACCGAUAGUGAAGCAGUAGCGUGAGGGAAAGGCGAAAAGAACCCCGGCGAGGGGAGUGAAAAAGAACCUGAAACCGUGUACGUACAAGCAGUGGGAGCACCUUCGGGUGUGACUGCGUACCUUUUGUAUAAUGGGUCAGCGACUUAUAUUCUGUAGCAAGGUUAACCGUAUAGGGGAGCCGCAGGGAAACCGAGUCUUAACUGGGCGUUAAGUUGCAGGGUAUAGACCCGAAACCCGGUGAUCUAGCCAUGGGCAGGUUGAAGGUUGGGUAACACUAACUGGAGGACCGAACCGACUAAUGUUGAAAAAUUAGCGGAUGACUUGUGGCUGGGGGUGAAAGGCCAAUCAAACCGGGAGAUAGCUGGUUCUCCCCGAAAGCUAUUUAGGUAGCGCCUCGUGAACUCAUCUUCGGGGGUAGAGCACUGUUUCGGCUAGGGGGUCAUCCCGACUUACCAACCCGAUGCAAACUACGAAUACCGAAGAAUGUUAUCACGGGAGACACACGGCGGGUGCUAACGUCCGUCGUGAAGAGGGAAACAACCCAGACCGCCAGCUAAGGUCCCAAAGUCAUGGUUAAGUGGGAAACGAUGUGGGAAGGCACAGACAGCCAGGAUGUUGGCUUAGAAGCAGCCAUCAUUUAAAGAAAGCGUAAUAGCUCACUGGUCGAGUCGGCCUGCGCGGAAGAUGUAACGGGGCUAAACCAUGCACCGAAGCUGCGGCAGCGACACUAUGUGUUGUUGGGUAGGGGAGCGUUCUGUAAGCCUGCGAAGGUGUGCUGUGAGGCAUGCUGGAGGUAUCAGAAGUGCGAAUGCUGACAUAAGUAACGAUAAAGCGGGUGAAAAGCCCGCUCGCCGGAAGACCAAGGGUUCCUGUCCAACGUUAAUCGGGGCAGGGUGAGUCGACCCCUAAGGCGAGGCCGAAAGGCGUAGUCGAUGGGAAACAGGUUAAUAUUCCUGUACUUGGUGUUACUGCGAAGGGGGGACGGAGAAGGCUAUGUUAGCCGGGCGACGGUUGUCCCGGUUUAAGCAUGUAGGCUGAUUGUCCAGGCAAAUCCGGAUAAUCAAGGCUGAGGUGUGAUGACGAGGCACUACGGUGCUGAAGUAACAAAUGCCCUGCUUCCAGGAAAAGCCUCUAAGCAUCAGGUAACAUUAAAUCGUACCCCAAACCGACACAGGUGGUCAGGUAGAGAAUACCAAGGCGCUUGAGAGAACUCGGGUGAAGGAACUAGGCAAAAUGGUGCCGUAACUUCGGGAGAAGGCACGCUGGUGUGUAGGUGAAGCCCCUGCGGGUGGAGCUGAGACCAGUCGAAGAUACCAGCUGGCUGCAACUGUUUAUUAAAAACACAGCACUGUGCAAACACGAAAGUGGACGUAUACGGUGUGACGCCUGCCCGGUGCCGGAAGGUUAAUUGAUGGGGUUAUCCGUAAGGAGAAGCUCUUGAUCGAAGCCCCGGUAAACGGCGGCCGUAACUAUAACGGUCCUAAGGUAGCGAAAUUCCUUGUCGGGUAAGUUCCGACCUGCACGAAUGGCGUAAUGAUGGCCAGGCUGUCUCCACCCGAGACUCAGUGAAAUUGAACUCGCUGUGAAGAUGCAGUGUACCCGCGGCAAGACGGAAAGACCCCGUGAACCUUUACUAUAGCUUGACACUGAACAUUGAGCCUUGAUGUGUAGGAUAGGUGGGAGGCUUUGAAGCGUGGACGCCAGUCUGCGUGGAGCCAACCUUGAAAUACCACCCUUUAAUGUUUGAUGUUCUAACGUUGGCCCCUGACCGGGGUUGCGGACAGUGUCUGGUGGGUAGUUUGACUGGGGCGGUCUCCUCCCAAAGCGUAACGGAGGAGCACGAAGGUUAGCUAAUCCUGGUCGGACAUCAGGAGGUUAGUGCAAUGGCAUAAGCUAGCUUGACUGCGAGCGUGACGGCGCGAGCAGGUGCGAAAGCAGGUCAUAGUGAUCCGGUGGUUCUGAAUGGAAGGGCCAUCGCUCAACGGAUAAAAGGUACUCCGGGGAUAACAGGCUGAUACCGCCCAAGAGUUCAUAUCGACGGCGGUGUUUGGCACCUCGAUGUCGGCUCAACACAUCCUGGGGCUGAAGUAGGUCCCAAGGGUAUGGCUGUUCGCCAUUUAAAGUGGUACGCGAGCUGGGUUUAGAACGUCGUGAGACAGUUCGGUCCCUAUCUGCCGUGGGCGCUGGAGAAUUGAGGGGGGCUGCUCCUAGUACGAGAGGACCGGAGUGGACGCAUCACUGGUGUUCGGGUUGUCAUGCCAAUGGCACUGCCCGGUAGCUAAAUGCGGAAGAGAUAAGUGCUGAAAGCAUCUAAGCACGAAACUUGCCCCGAGAUGAGUUCUCCCUGAGACUUUAAGUCUCCUGAAGGAACGUUGAAGACGACGACGUUGAUAGGCCGGGUGUGUAAGCGCAGCGAUGCGUUGAGCUAACCGGUACUAAUGAACCGUGAGGCUUAACCUUACAACGCCGAAG
rnacentral:rRNA from 1 species